GCAUUCACAAAGAUGUCCCGGUUCAGGAAUCAUUACCUACCUCUGUCCUACAUGAUACCAGCCGGGACUAUCCUGCUAACCCAUCUGGUCAUACCGCAUCCCUCUGCUCAGAGACCCCCAAAGUACCGAAGCUGAUCCAGUUUACCGGAUCCAUCCGCAGCUCCCACGUUCACUACAGAGCAGCCGUCUGCAGUAAGAGAUUGCAAGCCCAGUGGAGCAGCCGCUAGGCAUUAAUCCCGGUUUAUCGUCUGUGACUUCAGUAAAGUCAGCCCUGAUCACCAGCCCAAGCCGUCCGUGUGCUCCAUACCUUCUGUCCUGCAUGAUGACUCCGUGGACUUCACAACUCGUUCGAUCCUCUGUCUAUCCGAUGCCGUUCUGUCUGUAACGUUCUCCUGCUCUGGAAAGCCGAGCCUCAGCGGGGUCAGGUUUUGUCUGAAGAUGAGAAGGAGCCGGCCGCUCGUAAUCUCUUUGGGAAGGGAAACAAAACCACAUUAACAGCAGUGCGGCUGGACCCGGAGCAGACUAAGAAUGUA